CCCUUAGAUGUCCUGGGCCGCACGCGUGCUACACUGACGCCUACAGCGAGUACUUCCCAGCCCCGAGAGGUGGCUGGUAAUCAGCAAUAGGCGUCGUGAUGGGGAUAGGUCUUUGGAAUUAUGGAUCUUGAACGAGGAAUGCCUAGUAAGCGCAGGUCAUUAGCCUGCGCUGAUUAAGUCCCUGCCCUUUGUACACACCGCCCGUCGCUCCUACCGAUUUCGAGUGGUCCGGUGAAUCUUUCGGACUGCGCGCGGCCUCGUGCCGUGUCGCGGAAAGUCAGGUAAACCUUAUCACUUAGAGGAAGGAGAAGUCGUAACA
rnacentral:rRNA from 1 species